UGAUAAUUAGUUUAAAUUAAAAUAAAUGAUUUCGACUCAUUARMCUACAGGUAACU
rnacentral:tRNA from 1 species